UCGAGCGGGGGAGAUUGCUUCGGUAAUUGACCUAGCGGCGGACGGGUGAGUAAUACUUAGGAAUCUGCCUAUUAAUGGGGGACAACAUCUCGAAAGGGAUGCUAAUACCGCAUACGCCCUACGGGGGAAAGCAGGGGAUCACUUGUGACCUUGCGUUAAUAGAUGAGCCUAAGUCGGAUUAGCUAGUUGGUGGGGUAAAGGCCUACCAAGGCGACCAUAAGUAGCGGGUCUGAGAGGAUGAUCCGCCACACUGGGACUGAGACACGGCCCAGACUCCUACGGGAGGCAGCAGUGGGGAAUAUUGGACAAUGGGGGGAACCCUGAUCCAGCCAUGCCGCGUGUGUGAAGAAGGCCUUAUGGUUGUAAAGCACUUUAAGCGAGGAGGAGGCUCCUGUAGUUAAUACCUACAGUGAGUGGACGUUACUCGCAGAAUAAGCACCGGCUAACUCUGUGCCAGCAGCCGCGGUAAUACAGAGGGUGCGAGCGUUAAUCGGAUUUACUGGGCGUAAAGCGUGCGUAGGCGGCUUUUUAAGUCGGAUGUGAAAUCCCCGAGCUUAACUUGGGAAUUGCAUUCGAUACUGGGAAGCUAGAGUAUGGGAGAGGAUGGUAGAAUUCCAGGUGUAGCGGUGAAAUGCGUAGAGAUCUGGAGGAAUACCGAUGGCGAAGGCAGCCAUCUGGCCUAAUACUGACGCUGAGGUACGAAAGCAUGGGGAGCAAACAGGAUUAGAUACCCUGGUAGUCCAUGCCGUAAACGAUGUCUACUAGCCGUUGGGGCCUUUGAGGCUUUAGUGGCGCAGCUAACGCGAUAAGUAGACCGCCUGGGGAGUACGGUCGCAAGACUAAAACUCAAAUGAAUUGACGGGGGCCCGCACAAGCGGUGGAGCAUGUGGUUUAAUUCGAUGCAACGCGAAGAACCUUACCUGGUCUUGACAUAGUAAGAACUUUCCAGAGAUGGAUUGGUGCCUUCGGGAACUUACAUACAGGUGCUGCAUGGCUGUCGUCAGCUCGUGUCGUGAGAUGUUGGGUUAAGUCCCGCAACGAGCGCAACCCUUUUCCUUAUUUGCCAGCACUUCGGGUGGGAACUUUAAGGAUACUGCCAGUGACAAACUGGAGGAAGGCGGGGACGACGUCAAGUCAUCAUGGCCCUUACGACCAUGGCUACACACGUGCUACAAUGGUCGGUACAAAGGGUU
rnacentral:rRNA from 1 species